UAAUGCGCAGACUCAGAAGAACCCAUUUUGACACACAUUUAAAAACAAAUUCUUGCGGAGACGCCAUUAAAGACAUUUUCAGGGAGUAUCACAUACAAAAGAAAAGCAAGGGUGAGGUAGUAGGGAACAUAAUAUUUUGUGAAAAUGUGUUUGAUAAUGUGUCUACCUCCAACAGGUAUUACAGAGCGCAAUGGAUGGCAACACAUGCUAGCAGUGCAUGGAGCUCCGUGUCUGCUCAAGCACGUGGAAAUUGCAGAGUAAGCCGUGAGACGCAAGCUGUUAUCGUCGAACACAAAAUAGGUUGGAGAUCGAACCAAACUGCAUUCAAUGCAUGCAGAAAACCUAGUGAUUUGUGCAUACGGUUGAGCUUAGCACCGUAUACGGUUAGGCAGCACUAUUUAGUUAUGUGUCCCUAACUGUGCCGAUGCAAUGGCAUGCGUUGUUAAGCAUUGGCAAUGUAGACAACGGAAUUCUCACAUUUUAAAUGAACUAAUUUAGUA